rnacentral:rRNA from 1 species
CGGUCGUACGUCGCGUACGUCUAGAGGUAGUUUCGAUCCUGGCGUACAGGACGAACGCUGGCGGCGUGCCUAACACAUGCAAGUCAACGGAACUUAGUUGAAGGAAUUCUUCGGAAGGACAUUGGUUAAGUUUAGUGGCGACGGGUGAGUAACGCGUGAGUAACCUGCCUCCGAGAGGGGAAUAACAAUCUGAAAAGAUUGCUAAUACCGCAUAACAUAGCGAAGUCGCAUGGCAGCGCUAUCAAAGAUUUAUCGCUCGGAGAUGGACUCGCGUCCGAUUAGUUAGUUGGUGAGGUAACGGCUCACCAAGACCGCGAUCGGUAGCCGGACUGAGAGGUUGAACGGCCACAUUGGGACUGAGACACGGCCCAGACUCCUACGGGAGGCAGCAGUGGGGGAUAUUGCGCAAUGGGGGAAACCCUGACGCAGCGACGCCGCGUGAAGGAUGAAGGUUUUCGGAUUGUAAACUUCUUUUAUUAAGGACGAAAAAAUGACGGUACUUAAUGAAUAAGCUCCGGCUAACUACGUG